rnacentral:rRNA from 1 species
UACGUAGGCAGCAAGCGUUGUUCGGAAUUACUGGGCGUAAAGCGUGCGCAGGCGGCUGCUCAAGUCAGGGGUGAAAGCCCAGAGCUCAACUCUGGAAUUGCCUUUGAGACUGAGUGGCUUGAGUACGGGAGAGGUGAGUGGAAUUCCCAGUGUAGAGGUGAAAUUCGUAGAUAUUGGGAAGAACACCGGUGGCGAAGGCGGCUCACUGGCCCGUAACUGACGCUCAUGCACGACAGCGUGGGGAUCAAACAGG